UAGCUGUCUGAAGGAGACAAAUUUGGCAGUCCCCUUGAUUAGGAAGAAAGUACUCCCCAUGGCUUCUAAGCCCACACACACCACAUAAGUCAUGGCUCCCACCUUGUGCUUUUUA
rfam:Myotis brandtii contig202876, whole genome shotgun sequence.